rnacentral:rRNA from 1 species
UACGGAGGAUGCAAGCGUUAUCCGGAAUGAUUGGGCGUAAAGCGUUUUAAGGUGGUUUGGUAAGUUCUACUGUUAAAAUAUCAGGGCUUAACCCUGAACAGGCAGUGGAAACUAGCAAGCUUGAGUACGGUAGGGGCAAAGGGAAUUCCCGGUGUAGCGGUGAAAUGCGUAGAUAUCGGGAAGAACACCAAAGGCGAAAGCAACUUUGCUGGGCCGAAACGUGACACUGAUAGACGAAAGCUAGGGGAGCAAAUGGGAUUAGGAAACC